GGAAGAAAGAAAGCACUGAGUCAUCCAUCCAGAAGGGGGGAGAGCGCAGCCGCCCAGGCAGGAGCAGCAGCCAGCGAUACCUGGAGUCCGUUGCAGAAACCUCGCCCUGCACUUUGCAACAAAGGCAGCCUGCUAGUCAGCAAGGACAUCUGCAAGCCAAAGCUCUCAAAUCAAACCAAAAAUCCAAAAUAUGAAUAAUGAGAAGUCAAAAAACCUAAAACAGCCUACUCUUCAGUGUUCAUUGGAUUAACUCAAUGUAAAUGUCGUCCCAGCAAUACCAGCAGCAACGUCGAAAAUUUGCAGCUGCCUUCCUGGCCUUGAUUUUCAUCCUGGCAGCCGUGGACACUGCUGAGGCCGGGAAAAAAGAGAAACCAGAAAAAAAGGUGAAAAAAUCUGACUGUGGAGAAUGGCAAUGGAGUGUGUGCGUGCCCACCAGCGGGGACUGUGGUCUAGGCACCCGGGAGGGCACUCGCACUGGUGCCGAGUGCAAACAAACCAUGAAGACUCAGAGAUGUAAGAUCCCUUGCAACUGGAAGAAGCAGUUUGGAGCUGAGUGCAAAUACCAGUUCCAGGCUUGGGGAGAAUGUGACCUCAAUACCGCCUUGAAGACCAGAACUGGCAGUCUGAAGAGAGCUCUGCACAAUGCCGACUGUCAGAAAACUGUCACCAUCUCCAAGCCCUGUGGCAAACUCACCAAGCCCAAGCCUCAAGCGGAAUCAAAGAAGAAGAAAAAGGAAGGCAAGAAACAGGAGAAGAUGCUGGAUUAAAAGAGGCCACCUUUUGUGGACAAGGAAAAGGACAUCAGCAAGCAGGAUCAGUUAACUAUUACAUUUAUACCUACUGUAGGCUUUUUAUUCAACAGUUAUCUGUAGCUUAAGUACAUGAUAGGCAAAAACAAAGAGAAAAGAAAUGUUUU
rnacentral:lncRNA from 1 species